AUACGUAGGGGGCGAGCGUUGUCCGGAAUGAUUGGGCGUAAAGGGCGCGUAGGCGGCCCGGUAAGUCUGGAGUGAAAGUCCUGUUUUUAAGAUGGGAAUUGCUUUGGAUACUGUCGGGCUUGAGUGCAGGAGAGGUAAGUGGAAUUCCCAGUGUAGCGGUGAAAUGCGUAGAGAUUGGGAGGAACACCAGUGGCGAAGGCGACUUACUUGACUGUAACUGACGCUGAGGCGCGAAAGUGUGGGGAGCAAACAGGAUUAGAUACCCUGGUAGUCCACGCUGUAAACGAUGAAUGCUAGGUUUAGGGCGUAUCGACCCCUUCUGUGCCGGAGUCAACACAAUAAGCAUUCCGCCUGGGGAGUACGGCCGCAAGGUUGAAGCUCAAAUGAAUUGACGGGG
rnacentral:rRNA from 1 species